AUGUGUUUUGGGACUGGCAAAGACUGCUGUCUUCUUCCAGAAAUCAGUUUUAAGAUCUGGCAUAAAACAUUCAGUUUACCUAAGCUCAGAUCCCCAGGGGUUUUAAACUUCUGGAUUAUUUGCCUCCUAGAGCUGCUGCCCACAUUUUUAGCUCAGGAAAUUUGUCUUCAUAAGCAGCGAGGUUAAUGUAUUGUUUCCAAUCUUGUUGCCACAGUGGUCAAAGCCUCAGAGUCUGGGAUGGGCUCCUGGUCCCCAUAUCCAUAAUGAAGUACGAGGAACACAGUGUUUCCAUUGCUCAGCAUGGCUACUGACUGCUCUGUGGCCUCUUGUGGCCCUAGCUGUACGACCACCGCAUGUUGGGGAACCAACUACCCUGAAAGUACAGCAGCCAUCUGACCCCGUAGGAGCACCAAGCAAUUGGCCAGAAAUAUGCCCGAUUUGACUAAGUAGACCUCAAGAAUUUCGGGAAGCAGACUUAUUUUUAUCUAUUUAUUUAUUUUCAGGAAUAUCAAGUUGCAGCGUUUCUGAAACAAAAUACUUCAGAAUUUGAUUUUGACGAACACCUUUAAAUUCUUGGCCUUUCUCUCUUUCUCAAGAUAAAAAUAUUUCUGAUAAUGUAAAAUUUAUGAAGAAUGGGAAUGUGGUUUUCUGACCUGCUACAGUCUUUUCUAAAGGGAUAACACAUUAGGUUGUAGAAAUAACAAGUUACUUUAUUGCUUUAUUGCUACCUCUCAACCCACUGCCAGUUGCGGAGGGGAUGAAAAUUCACAUCAGUCUUAAAGAGAAUGAGCAAAUGCAAAUAUAUACUCCUACUGCAAACAGAAGGCCUGAUUCUUUCUCCCUUGCAGCAGUGAGACUGUCCUAGUUCAGGACUUGAAGAUCUUUAUCCUGCAGUCCAGAAACAAGGAAAUCCCUGGUGUGGCGGUUGCAGAAGGAAAACUAAGUGUUAGUUUUUAUUCAUGAAAUCUGUUCUCCCCUUGAAAAAGCUUUGUGCUGUAGAAGCUGUAAGUGGAUUGGAACCAUGAUCUACAACCCUGCCACACAGAUCACUAA
rnacentral:lncRNA from 1 species